rnacentral:ncRNA from 19 species
AUUAGAUAAAAAUGUAAUGGUUCAACUUGAUUAAAAGGGAAUUGAGUGAAAAUCUCAAACGGUCCCGCCACUGUAUAGAGGAUGAAAACAGUAAUACCACUGAGGAUAUAAACCUUGGGAAGGGCUGUGAGUAGGAUGAAUCUAAGUCAGGAGACCUGCCAUUAUUUAGAAUUCUGCG